UGGGGAAUAUUGCACAAUGGGCGCAAGCCUGAUGCAGCCAUGCCGCGUGUAUGAAGAAGGCCUUCGGGUUGUAAAGUACUUUCAGCGGGGAGGAAGGGAGUAAAGUUAAUACCUUUGCUCAUUGACGUUACCCGCAGAAGAAGCACCGGCUAACUCCGUGCCAGCAGCCGCGGUAAUACGGAGGGUGCAAGCGUUAAUCGGAAUUACUGGGCGUAAAGCGCACGCAGGCGGUUUGUUAAGUCAGAUGUGAAAUCCCCGGGCUCAACCUGGGAACUGCAUCUGAUACUGGUCAGCUAGAGUCUUGUAGAGGGGGGUAGAAUUCCAUGUGUAGCGGUGAAAUGCGUAGAGAUGUGGAGGAAUGCCGGUGGCGAAGGCGGCCCCCUGGACAAAGACUGACGCUCAGGUGCGAAAGCGUGGGGAGCAAACAGG
rnacentral:rRNA from 1 species